UACGUAGGGUGCAAGCGUUGUCCGGAUUUAUUGGGCGUAAAGAGCUCGUAGGCGGUCUGUCGCGUCGGAUGUGAAAUCCCAGGGCUCAACCCUGGGCCUGCAUUCGAUACGGGCAGACUAGAGUAUGGCAGGGGAGACUGGAAUUCCUGGUGUAGCGGUGAAAUGCGCAGAUAUCAGGAGGAACACCGGUGGCGAAGGCGGGUCUCUGGGCCAAAACUGACGCUGAGGAGCGAAAGCGUGGGGAGCGAACAGG
rnacentral:rRNA from 1 species